UNCUGACAGCCAUCGUGCAGGUGCUCAGC
rnacentral:piRNA from 1 species